CUACGGGGCGCUCCAGUGGGGAAUAUUGCACAAUGGGCGCAAGCCUGAUGCAGCAACGCCGCGUGAGGGAUGAAGGCCUUCGGGUUGUAAACCUCUUUUAGCAGGGAAGAAGCGAAAGUGACGGUACCUGCAGAAAAAGCACCGGCUAACUACGUGCCAGCAGCCGCGGUAAUACGUAGGGUGCAAGCGUUGUCCGGAAUUAUUGGGCGUAAAGAGCUCGUAGGCGGUUUGUCACGUCUGCUGUGAAAAUCCAAGGCUCAACCUUGGACUUGCAGUGGGUACGGGCAGGCUAGAGUGCGGUAGGGGAGAUGGGAAUUCCUGGUGUAGCGGUGGAAUGCGCAGAUAUCAGGAGGAACACCAAUGGCGAAGGCACACCUCUGGGCCGUAACUGACGCUGAGGAGCGAAAGCGUGGGGAGCGAACAGGAUUAGAUACCCCCGUAGUC
rnacentral:rRNA from 1 species